rnacentral:rRNA from 1 species
UACGUAGGGGGCAAGCGUUGUCCGGAUUUAUUGGGCGUAAAGAGCGUGUAGGCGGCCAUGUAGGUCCGUUGUGAAAACUCGAGGCUCAACCUCGAGACGCCGAUGGAAACCAUGUGGCUAGAGUCCGGAAGAGGAGAGUGGAAUUCCCGGUGUAGCGGUGAAAUGCGCAGAUAUCGGGAAGAACACCCGUGGCGAAGGCGCCUCUCUGGGACGGUACUGACGCUGAGACGCGAAAGCGUGGGGAGCGAACAGG